rnacentral:rRNA from 1 species
GGCAGCAGUGGGGAAUAUUGCACAAUGGGGGAAACCCUGAUGCAGCAACGCCGCGUGAGUGAUGAAGGUUUUCGGAUCGUAAAGCUCUGUCUUUGGGGAAGAUAAUGACGGUACCCAAGGAGGAAGCCACGGCUAACUACGUGCCAGCAGCCGCGGUAAUACGUAGGUGGCGAGCGUUAUCCGGAUUUACUGGGCGUAAAGGGAGCGUAGGCGGAUGAUUAAGUGGGAUGUGAAAUACCCGGGCUCAACUUGGGUGCUGCAUUCCAAACUGGUUAUCUAGAGUGCAGGAGAGGAGAGUGGAAUUCCUAGUGUAGCGGUGAAAUGCGUAGAGAUUAGGAAGAACACCAGUGGCGAAGGCGACUCUCUGGACUGUAACUGACGCUGAGGCUCGAAAGCGUGGGGAGCAAACAGGAUUAAAUACCCUGGUAGUCCACGC